rnacentral:ncRNA from 19 species
AUCUUAUCAAGAGUGGUGGAGGGACUGGCCCUAUGAAACCCGGCAACCAAAUGAUUACUUAUCAUUUAUGGUGCUAAAUCCUGCAACUUAUGGAGUUGAUAGAUGAGAG